GGGGCAGCCGGCAGGGCCUGCGCCGCCUGCCCGGCCGGCCGUGGGUAGGAAGGUGGUCUUGACCGGGACCCCCGGGUGCCACAAAGCGCUGGCGCUUUCAGGGCUCGGGCUGCGUCGUGGCUGGGUUGGUACACAGCCUGGCUGAUUCCACGCUGAAAGGCCCCUAGGGAUUCAACUGCGUGGUGCCGAUGGACAGACAGAAACCCAGGACAGACAGUGGAGCAGGAGACUCAGUGCUAUGAGGUGCCCGCCGAGGUGCCUGGGUGUGCCCACGCCUGCCCAUGCCUGCCCACGCCUCUCUCCCUCCUUUUCCAGGGAAAUGAGCCUCUUGAGCAGGCGUGAUGUCUUCCUUGUCUGCUGCUGUUGUGUACCCAGCACUGGGUAGGGCCUGAUAAAAAGAUGUGGAGUCAACCAAGGUGUCCACAGAUCAAUGGAGAGACUCAGAAAACACAGUGCACAUACACAGUGGGGUACUGUGCAGCUGAAAACCAAUGAAAUCCCAUCAUUUGUAGAAAUAGUGAUGGAGCCCCGGGGCUUUGUGUUAAGUGAAAUAAACCAGGCACAGAAAGACAAAUACACAUUCUCACUCUUUCGUAGACACUGAAGGGGAUG